GAUGAACGCUGGCGGCGUGCUUAACACAUGCAAGUCGAACGGAAAGGCCACAGCUUGCUGUGGUACUCGAGUGGCGAACGGGUGAGUAAUACGUGGGUGAUCUGCCCUGUACUUCGGGAUAAGCUUGGGAAACUGGGUCUAAUACCGGAUAGGAAUCACAUGUGGGUGUGUGGUUGGAAAGCUUUUGCGGUAUGGGAUGAGCUCGCGGCCUAUCAGCUUGUUGGUGGGGUAAUGGCCUACCAAGGCGUCGACGGGUAGCCGGCCUGAGAGGGUGUACGGCCACAUUGGGACUGAGAUACGGCCCAGACUCCUACGGGAGGCAGCAGUGGGGAAUAUUGCACAAUGGGCGCAAGCCUGAUGCAGCGACGCCGCGUGGGGGAUGACGGCCUUCGGGUUGUAAACUCCUUUCGUCAGGGACGAAGCGAAAGUGACGGUACCUGGAUAAGAAGCACCGGCUAACUACGUG
rnacentral:rRNA from 1 species